UACGAAGGGGCUAGCGUUGCUCGGAAUCACUGGGCGUAAAGGGUGCGUAGGCGGGUCUUUAAGUCAGGGGUGAAAUCCUGGAGCUCAACUCCAGAACUGCCUUUGAUACUGAGGAUCUUGAGUUCGGGAGAGGUGAGUGGAACUGCGAGUGUAGAGGUGAAAUUCGUAGAUAUUCGCAAGAACACCAGUGGCGAAGGCGGCUCACUGGCCCGAUACUGACGCUGAGGCACGAAAGCGAUGGG
rnacentral:rRNA from 1 species